GGACAUGAGGGCGAUCUGGCUCUGACAUCUGUCACCCCAUUGAUCGCCAGGGUUGAUUCGGCUGAUCUGGGUGGCUAGGCAGGUGUCCCCUUCCUCCCUCAUGGCUCCAUGUGUGUCCCUCCCGAAGCUGUGCGCUCAGUCAAAGAGGACGACCAUCCCUGAUAGAGGAGGACCGUUCUUCGGUCAAGGGUAGCUGCACUCCCCUGCUCGAACCUCCAAACAAGCUCUCAAAUAUAAUUAAGUAAUAUUGAAAUAUAAUUAAUAUAAAUAAGUACUAUUUACAUAGCAUUUAUCUAUAAGGAAAACAUA
rnacentral:snRNA from 1 species